GAUGAACGCUGGCGGCGUGCCUAAUACAUGCAAGUCGAGCGAACGGACGAGAAGCUUGCUUCUCUGAUGUUAGCGGCGGACGGGUGAGUAACACGUGGAUAACCUACCUAUAAGACUGGGAUAACUUCGGGAAACCGGAGCUAAUACCGGAUAAUAUUUUGAACCGCAUGGUUCAAAAGUGAAAGACGGUCUUGCUGUCACUUAUAGAUGGAUCCGCGCUGCAUUAGCUAGUUGGUAAGGUAACGGCUUACCAAGGCAACGAUGCAUAGCCGACCUGAGAGGGUGAUCGGCCACACUGGAACUGAGACACGGUCCAGACUCCUACGGGAGGCAGCAGUAGGGAAUCUUCCGCAAUGGGCGAAAGCCUGACGGAGCAACGCCGCGUGAGUGAUGAAGGUCUUCGGAUCGUAAAACUCUGUUAUUAGGGAAGAACAUAUGUGUAUGUAACUGUGCACAUCUUGACGGUACCUAAUCAGAAAGCCACGGCUAACUACGUG
rnacentral:rRNA from 1 species